rnacentral:misc_RNA from 1 species
UCAUUGGUCUGAAGUUGCCCCGUUGUGUACACGGUGUUUUGUUUUGUCUCGUGCUUUUGUGCCGUUUCUACAGAGCAAUGCCGUAAACAAAACUGAGGAGUUUCAGCGUACCAAGUAACGAUGCCUCUGAAGUGGGACUGCUCUUUGUCACCGGCAGCUCUACGAUGCCGGAACAAAUAUAGUAUGUGACGUGAAUUCGUGAUGCGGUGGAUGCCAUGUUAGUGUCACCUGCAGCCGUGCUGCGGUUGCGACCGCAUCAGACAACGAUUGUUAUUCGCUGUGUGUCCACGCUCUUGUGAUUAUGGAUAGUUAGGCACCAUUGUGAUCACUGUCUGCAAAGCAUGUCUUGCUGCGGCGCAAGGAUCCUGGUACUGGCGAUUUGCAUAAUUCAGCUGAUCGCAACAUUCCAACGCCAAGUCUUCGACUUCCUGGGGUACAUGUGGGCGCCGAUCCUGGCCAACUUCUUCCAGAUCAUAUUCGUCAUCUUCGGUUUCUUCGGAACGUAUCACUACCGGCCAAGAUAUGUUGUUGCCUACAUCAUCUGGACUCUUUUGUGGAUUGGAUGGAAUCUUUUUGUCAUCUGCAUUUACAUGGAAAUCGGCGCCCUGAAUAGGGAUUCCAACAUUCUGAACAUGGGCACUGGGAGCCGGAGUUGGUGGGAGGCAAAUGGCUUUGGUUGCGUGGCCAUCUUCAACUAUAGCUCUUCCGACGACAUCUUGGCCGUCACCAAGCCUGUGUCGGUGGCGGGAUGUGUGCUUCCGUACUACUAUGUGGAAUGCAUUCAAGCUGGCGUGCAGUGCCUGCUAGCGUUUGUGGGCUUUGUCGGAGGCUGCUACCUGAUCUACCUUUACACUCAGGAAGACGAUUCGUUUGCACCCAGAAGAAGAAGCAGCAAAAGAAAACCACUGAACAGCCUGCCUUAUAGCAUCGAGUUCCGUACUGACCCACCCGCCACCGACGGUGGCGGCCCCUCCGCAAGCGGCGGAUUGGGCCGCGCACCCAUGACUCCCCGCAGAGUGAAGAGACGCUCGACUCGCUCCAAACGGUCGUCAGGCCAGGCACAGUAUCAGAACCCCGUAACGCGCCUGCUCGACCGGUCCCUGGACACGUCGAGCAACGACAGCUACGCCCAUUUCGGCGGUCAGUGCAACCCAGUUUACCUGGGAUCCCGCACCAGCCUCCACUCACUAUACGGCAAGGCCAACCCCAACCUCAGCGGGCCUCUGCGAACGACCCACCAGCACAGUGCCACUACGGGGCUGCCCUCUACAAGGCACUCUACAAGGGGGCGCCACCAGCCCUACGUGGACAGCUCUGAGACAAUGAUAUGAGUGGUUUCGAACAGCGUGUGGCACAUUGUACUAGCGAAAAAGUGCGUGUGUGUGCAUAGAGCUGUGCUCUGUGCUGAGAGGCAAAACAUUGUUUCUUUCUGCUGGGUACUUGGGCGGCAAUGCUUGACCAGUCCUACAAUUUUUCCGUAUGCACAUUGGCUAGCAAUAUGAAAUGAAUGUGUAGAUAGUGACCUGUAGGAUAUAGUAUUCAGGUUUCAACUCUUCAAAAUGACAGAAGAUAGGCUGUCUUAGGCUUAAGUGUAGUAACUGCUUGAGGCCAACUGGUAAGCUCUAAAAGUGCGACCGAAUUGAGUGUCGGACCCCAUACUGCUCUCUGCUGUGCAGCCAGUUUUCAUGUACUCGUGUUUAGUAGUGUUGCUAUGCUAAGGGAACGAAUUUCAGGGAGCAAGAAAGCUGUUGCAGAAAAAAAGCUAUUAUACUGUAUGCUGUGCUCACAGGGGAUGAAAUACUCCUCGAGUUUAUCAGCAGGAGCCAAAAUAUUGACCUGAAUGUUUUUAUUCUAACCAUAUAUUGCCAUAAACAUCUACCUAUUAUACAGCCAUUUUUAUUGAAAGCUUUUAAGGCAUUCUGCUUUGUUAAGAGACAUCCCUAAGCACAGCCAUGUCAUGCCAUCCUUCGCAUUGCACUUGUGUUAUUGACAUUGCUAGGUACAUUGUUCUUCUUCUUCUUCAUCUUUUCUUUUUUUUUUUUGUGACUGCUGCAACUGCGUUUUGCUUGUGAACUAUGCCCGGCAUUCUCAAUUAUGAACUGAGAAGUGCUGUUUAACCAUCCCUGCAUAAUUAGGCUUUCAUUCAAGCUUUUGCGCGUUGUUUCGCAGUAGUAUCUCAGUGAUGAUGAGGGCCUGCAUCACCUACUGUAAUCAUAUUGUAAGCAGUUUCAUUUUCAUCAAAACGAAUUUAUUGAAGUGGCCACAAAAAACUUAACCUCAUCAAAUGAAUUUGCCUGGUCUAGAUUGCAUGAUCAUAAUUCCAAAAUUUAUCACUGCAAUGAGUUAAGAUCAACAUACUUGCUCUCAUUGGAGAAAAAGAGUUGCAGAGAAUGUGCCUCCCAAUUCCAUUCAUUUUUUUCCUAGCAUAGUGCUGCAAGCUGGAAAUGACAAGUGUUAUUUGUUAAAAGGUACAACGGUGAUACUAUUCAGUCAUCUUCUAUCAUUUGCCAUUUUUAAUACAAUUCUCGGGCUCCUGUACAGUCGGCUUAUGGUAAUUCCAGCUCAGAAAUUUUAGAGCCGUGGUUUUACUUAACGCUCAAGGUUUUUGUUGGUCCACUUUCUUUUGUUGAAUAUUGAUGCUCCUUUGUUCAAACAGGGUUUUCACUCAAGCGAAAUGUUCUUGUUCCCCACGAGAAGCAUGACUGAACACUGCUAAUAAGAGCACGUUAAAUCAAGCUGUGAAUAGUGGGAAUGUGCCCACGUAUGAUAAGUUGUACGUUGGCCAACAUGGUAGCAUAUCCAUGGCUAGGAGUUCAUGCACCACUCUUUCGUGACAACCUAUAAUUUUGUUUCGAGCUGAAUUUCGUUCAAGACUUCCAUCGCUUUAUACAAAAAUCUGCUGUGCUUAUUGGUUUGAGCCGAAGUAAGAGGACUGUAAUUUGUUAAGUUAUCCUAAAACACAUUUGUUCUUGUAAAUCAAAAUGACUUUGGGGACGAUUCUUUGAUUCGUCCAUUCAUUCUCGUGCCAUCUUGGGGUAAUCGGCUUUUAAUGGCUGUAGUUACCGAUGCUGUUGACUGUUUUCGAAGCUAAAGGUAAACAGUUUCUCCAAGCUUUCUUUGCCAUGUCUACCUCCAGAGUUUUGUCAGUUUCUUGCUCACAUCAAAACUUCAAUCUUCACUUUGCAUAUUUAUUGUACUCCUCGUGUGGUGGGGCUUUGUAUCCAUUGCAAAACCAACGUUCUCAUUUUUGAGCACGUGCGGAAGAAGCGUGAAACAUUUAGUACCACACAUUCAGACAAACAACUUUUCACGACGUAGUUUAGUUUAUAAAAGUUGACAUUGUGCUGAAGCCACGAUAACAAACUCAAGCUGUUAGGUUUUUUUUUUCUUGAUAUUUAUCGCAUGGUCACGUGAAUUUUUUACGAAGGCUUACUCCUUAGCCUUCUUUUUUAAUAAUUAUGAGCAAAUGGAACAGCUGAACGAUAUUUUACUUUGCAUGGGUUUGAAUAGUGCUACAUUUUAUCAAAUCUGUCUGGGCAUCACAUUAGCUGCCUUUUGUUUACAGGUAGCCAACACCUUUAAAUAAUCGACAGCAUGGUGUAUCUGUUUCUUCUUUUCAAUGCUGGCAUUCUUACAGUUCCUACCUGUUUUCCUGUGCAAUCGUUGACGCAAUCACUCACGAUUCUAAGCUCUGGAAUCGGUCCCAUGCAUGGUGGACGCUCUUGAUGGCGUUGACUGAAUGCUGUUAGUUUAGCACACCUUUUGCAUUAUUUGUGCGUUAUCCUUCUACGAUGCUUGCAACUUCAGCGAAGACUUCUUCGUCUUCCAGUAACCAAAGACGUUGGUACCCUGGCAUUGUGUCCAUUGUUUCACUCCUUUGAGAUGUUUUUCAUUGGAUCGCUUCUUGUAAAUAGUUAGCUGUGUGGCCAUCAAGAUCCUUGUACGGCGAUUGACUGUGCCAUCAUGUACAUUUUGUUCCUGUAUAGCUGUACCAGUUACGUAUCAUUCCUUUUACUUGUGCGGGUGAUUGUUGCAGCGCGGUACUUGGUACACUAGUGUUGUUGGGUACCGCAGAUCAAAAGGUUGGGGUGUGGUCGCUGUACAAAUUGGAGCAGUUGGAAACUGGGUUCAGUGACCUGAUCACAGUGGUUCCUCUCGUAUACUCCAAUUUGGACCAGUAUACAUCUGCCUCACAAACGAAGCCUGUGGAUGCUCACUUGUAGGGCAGCCUUGGUGCAACUGACUGGCCAAAAAAGAAUUCAUAGAUGAAUUGGAGACAUUGUCACAGCCGGCUUAUGGGCUGAAAUGAUCAAAAUCUACCUUAUUGUUGAGACAUUGAGGUUGGUGAUGAUUGUUGCAUUUGUGAUAAGCCAUGGUGCAAAUUGUAUUAGGUGGUGCAAAGAAAGACAGAAAAUUCUUGUCAUCAAGUAAAACUUUGGUCAUUGAUUCAUCUUGAUAGCCAUCUUGAUAGCAUUUAACCCUGGCACAGGGGACCUACUUGGCAUGACAUUUCUUUUAUGUGUGCCAGACCUGUCUAUUGGGCCACCUUUCAGUGUUGCCAUUUCAUGUAUUGCUCCUCUAAGUCAAGAAGCGGUGGACGCUUCAGUAAAGAAAAAAAAAAAGUUUUAAUUUGCAAGAGUUAUUGCCAUGAAGCUCCAUGUCACCCAGUUGAUAGUGGCUUUCAUUUACAAAACCUGUGCCAUGCUUGGAGAUUGGCGGAAUGAACACAUUAUUGCAAUAUGUUUGUAAUACGUCUUGAUAUUUUUUAGCCAUAUUUGACCAGCUGUUUACAAUGACAUUAGGCUUUUGUCUUUUACCUACAUAACGCUACAGCAGCAGUUGCUAGAUCAAAUUUUUCAGGCAGGUGGGAGGGGGGUCAAGUAAGCCUAUUUAGACAGGCAGGGGCAUUUCAUUCUUUGCAUGGCUUUUGUGCUUUUCGAUUCCACUCAUGCAUAAUUGAAGCACUUCAGUGUGUUCAAAAUGCACUCGAACCUUGACACUAUGAAUGAAGUUGCAAUUGAAACAAACUUUCGAAGUUCAAGAUGAAAGCAUGCACAAAAAGUAGAUGCUGGCACUUGUUGAAGCCAUGGUUAAUGCGUGGCUGUGCAAGUUUUCUUGGGGCAUCCUUGCAUAUGUUUUCUCUAGUUGCUGUUCAUAAAACAUGCAAGCACUUAAAAUGAUUUACUUUUGAGUCAACUCAGUAAACUGUAUUGAAUGGGGGCGUUUGCGAGUAGUUUUCUUACUGAUAGUUUGCAUAUUAUUGCCGUAAUCGGACAAAUAUUCUUCAGCACAACCACUAGCCCUCAAAAUGGGCCCCACAUUCUUUUUUAGUUCUGUGAUAGAUAUGGAAAUUUUUUAACAUAAAUAACUGAACAAAUCUUCAAAUUUUAAUUUGUACCCUAUAAUUCAUUAUAUUGAGCCUUAUUGCAGUGAAACUCUGGUUUGGAAUGGCGACCUCCCCGGACCCCUUAGUUGUCUGUCAUGUAGAAUGUUUGAAAAUACUUGUGUCAGUAUUUUGCCUGUAGCAUUUUGUUUUGGUGCUCUGACAGGUGAUUGUAUCCAUUCUUGUGUUUUGUGUCAUUGCCCAUUCAUGUUGCUGUAUUAUGUGUGGCAGACUGUGAAAAGCGUUUAAGGAACUCAUAACUGCGCUUGGUUCAUUUGCGUCGGCACAGAGGUUACUGUCUAGUAAGCUAGUUUUGUGGUUGGCGCCGAAAGUGUUGCAGAAUCCGUGUGCUUUCAUGUAAAUAACUCCUGGUUGACCUGUCUGCGUGGGAAAUGUUUUGGAGCGAGCACUUAUUUAUUUAGAGCCACAUUUGUCGAGCGAUGUGCAACUCUCGACAAGCAUGAUGUCUGUCACCCUCCUACCUCUCGAACAAUUAUGAGGUUUUGAGAAAAUGUUGCUCAAGGAACCAGGCAAAUUGUGUAGGCUGUUAUUUGUAGGAGACUUUUGGAAAUUGUUGAUGUAGAAAUCAUAGUGCAAGUUUCUAAAGCCAUUGAAAUUGCAAUGACGUUGUUGCGAGUGGUAACAGUUCUGUCAUUUCACGAGGUCAAGAGCUUAAGUGCAUCUGCAUUUCUUGUACAUUAAGAUAAUUUUUGGAGGAAGUGCUCGCUGCUAGAACAUAGAUGGGCGUUGCUUGUGGUUAUGUGAUGUACUUAGUGAUCUCAGUAGAAGUGCAGGAUUGAUUGACUGCUAAGAGGUAUUUGUAUAGCUGUUGGAAAUGAAUUAUUGCCAAUAUAUGCGCAGUGGAGAGGUUUUAUGCCGUGGCUACUACACUUUUCAUACUCUUUAUACACCUGUAACUAGACAUCACAUGAAGUGGAAGCUAGUAAAUGAGUUAUUACUUCUUGAUCAGCAUUCUCAAUAAACAUUCCAUAGCCGAAAGAGCAAGCUUUAUUAGGGGCCCUCAUAUUAAAAUAAUACGUGAAAUAUAGUAACGCCACGUUGGGCUUAACUGAUACGGAUGAAAUCUGCCGCACUUGAGAUGGAAAGUGACUGUGUAGUGGCAAAUCCUUUACUUUUAACCCUAAUUAUUUGGAAGAAAUGUAGACUAAUAUUUCUGGUUUAAAAAAAUAGUAGACCUCUGACAUAAAAUAUCAAAAGUAGGUUAUAGUUGUCUAAUCAGCAACUGAUAAAACCAAUGUGCUGUACCAGCUUUAGGCAAAAGCAGUAUCUCGUGCAACACUAUAUUGUACUGCUGUUUUAGAAUUGAGAUGCUGCAAAACUCUCACAAGCAAAGUAAAAGUACCUUGUCAACUGUUGGAUGGCACUGCAUAGUAGAAGCUUUCUGUUGCAGUCAGAACUAUUAACUUUCUGUCACUUUAAUUUCAAAAUGUCAAAUUUUGUUACUUUCAAAGUUACAAAUAAAUUCGUUUGCAAGUGA